AGAGUUUGAUCCUGGCUCAGAUUGAACGCUGGCGGCAGGCCUAACACAUGCAAGUCGAGCGAGAAAGCCCUUCGGGGUGAGUACAGCGGCGGACGGGUGAGUAACGCGUAGGAAUCUACCCAGUAGUGGGGGACAACUUGGGGAAACCCAAGCUAAUACCGCAUACGCCCUACGGGGGAAAGCGGGGGAUCUUCGGACCUCGCGCUAUUGGAUGAGCCUGCGUCGGAUUAGCUAGUUGGUGGGGUAAAAGCCUACCAAGGCGACGAUCCGUAGCUGGUCUGAGAGGAUGAUCAGCCACACUGGAACUGAGACACGGUCCAGACUCCUACGGGAGGCAGCAGUGGGGAAUAUUGCGCAAUGGGGGCAACCCUGACGCAGCCAUGCCGCGUGUGUGAAGAAGGCCCUAGGGUUGUAAAGCACUUUCAAUUGGGAAGAAAAGCUUGUCGUUAAUAGCGGCAAGCCCUGACAUUACCUUUAGAAGAAGCACCGGCUAACUCCGUGCCAGCAGCCGCGGUAAUACGGAGGGUGCGAGCGUUAAUCGGAAUUACUGGGCGUAAA
rnacentral:rRNA from 1 species